UACGGGGGGGGCAAGCGUUGUUCGGAAUUACUGGGCGUAAAGGGCUCGUAGGUGGCCAACUAAGUCAGACGUGAAAUCCCUCGGCUUAACCGGGGAACUGCGUCUGAUACUGGAUGGCUUGAGUUCGGGAGAGGGAUGCGGAAUUCCAGGUGUAGCGGUGAAAUGCGUAGAUAUCUGGAGGAACACCGGUGGCGAAGGCGGCAUCCUGGACCAUUACUGACGCUGAGGCGCGACAGCGUGGGGAGCAAACGAGG
rnacentral:rRNA from 1 species